rnacentral:lncRNA from 1 species
UGGAAAGGUUCUGGGAAUUCAUUAUGAUCUAAACAACUAUUCCAGUCAUUCCUGUGACUCAGCGCCUGCCAGCAGGAUCUUCCUGUGUGCACGGGGCCGGGGGUUGCUGACUCAGUGCUGAGGAGGGCACCUUGUCAGCGCUCCUGGGCUCCCAGCUCCUCCUGCCUCCCCUUCGUCCCCAGAGGACACCAAAGGGAAGCAGGCAGUGGGGGGAGCUUCUCAGCGUGUCCAGUUUCACUUCUAAACCAGCAUCCAGCCUCCUCGAGUUACCACUCUGACCACGUACAUCUGUUAGUCUUCCGGGCACUUUGGCGAGGAAGCCAUCAGGAACAGUCACACAGGCAUCAUGCUUCACGUACCCAAUUAACACGUGUUUAGCCAGCACCUACUAUGCAUCCAGGACUGGGAUCCAGAGAGAUGUGACUGUAUCUACCCACAACUUUCAGAGGUCUGGCGGGGGAAAAGCCCUCGCAGUCCCGCAGGAAGUAAUGGAGAGAGUGCUGCAGCAGGGCUGUGGAGAGCCGGGGCCGCUGAGCAGCAAGCGGCAGCAGGCUCAGUGUCCCCGAAACUGCAAAUGAACUGCUGGCGCUCUCCUCCUUCACGUGAGAAGGAGAAGGAGAAAAGACAGAUCACAUGCUGCCGGAUGAAAAUUAAAGAAGUGAGGACACCAACAUGGCAUCUACUACGUACCAAACCUUUACAUGCCAAAGAGGGAAGUGGAGAAAUCAAUGAAGGCUCCUGAAGGACGUGUCAGCUCCACCUGAAAACAGGAUGAGUUGCCCUUUCAACCCCACUUUGAGUUGAAUAAUACCACAUAAGCACCUUAUGUAUAUGAAGACUGAGGCUGAGAGACCACACAACCGGCCCAAGCACCUACAACUGGAAGUGGUAUGGCCAGGAUUUAAAUUCCUGUUUGACUGACUCCCGGGCUGGUUCCCAUUACCUUCAAGGCCAGGUUGAAGGUCAAGCUACCACAAAGAAGAG